AGAGUUUGAUCCUGGCUCAGGAUGAACGCUAGCGAUAGGCCUAACACAUGCAAGUCGAGGGGCAGCGCGGUGUAGCAAUACAUUGGCGGCGACCGGCGCACGGGUGAGUAACGCGUAUGCAACCUACCUACAACAGGGGAAUAACCCGGAGAAAUUCGGACUAAUACCGCAUAAAACAGGGGCUCCGCAUGGAGAUAUUUGUUAAAGAUUUAUCGGUUGUAGAUGGGCAUGCGUUCCAUUAGCUAGUUGGUGAGGUAACGGCUCACCAAGGCAACGAUGGAUAGGGGAACUGAGAGGUUUGUCCCCCACACUGGAACUGAGACACGGACCAGACUCCUACGGGAGGCAGCAGUGAGGAAUAUUGGUCAAUGGGCGAGAGCCUGAACCAGCCAAGUCGCGUGAAGGAAGACUGCCUUAUGGGUUGUAAACUUCUUUUAUACAGGAAUAAAAAGAGUUACGUGUAACUUAUUGCAUGUACUGUAUGAAUAAGCAUCGGCUAACUCCGUGCCAGCAGCCGCGGUAAUACGGAGGAUGCGAGCGUUAUCCGGAUUUAUUGGGUUUAAAGGGUGCGCAGGCGGGUUCUUAAGUCAGCGGUGAAAUUUUCAGGCUCAACCUGAACACUGCCGUUGAAACUGGGAGUCUUGAGUAUAGAUGAAGUAGGCGGAAUUCGUUGUGUAGCGGUGACAUGCUUAGAUAUAACGAGGAACUCCGAUUGCGUAGGCAGCUUACUAAACUAUAACUGACGCUCAUGCACGAAAGCGUGGGGAUCAAACAGGAUUA
rnacentral:rRNA from 1 species